UUUCUUGGGAAUGGGAUGUGUUGCUGAAAGCACAUGGACCAAUGAUCUGACACUUCCCUGCACUGAGCUAAGAAUUUGGCUGCUCUCUCCAUGGCUUCAAGCAACUGUCUCAACCUGAUGCUUUGUGACCUCCUUGGAAUCUUCAAAUGUCAGUGGAAAGGGACAUUAUAGCUCAUUGCGAUCAGCCCUUCAUUUAGGGAUGAGGACCCACGUUCAGAGAGAUUCAAAUGCCAGGUCCAAAGUAACACAUAGGACCAGCAUGAGUCUCAGCUUUCUUCUUCAGAGCCAGUUUUCAGCAAACCACACUGUAUUCAUGCUAAGAGACAGUGCCUCAAUCUG
rnacentral:lncRNA from 10 species